rnacentral:tRNA from 1 species
GCCUCCGUGGCCCAAUGGAUAAGGCACCGGCCUCCUAGCCGGGGAUUGCGGGUUCGAGUCCCGUCGGGGUAG